rnacentral:misc_RNA from 1 species
GAUCGUUGGUGUUUAGAAGCUUUAGGCAGUAAGGCCAUCAGCUGGUUAAUGCAGGAAGAUGAGAAACUUCUUCGUUUCUGCAUUUCUUUUCCAGGCUUGCAAUUGGUCACUACUCAUCACUAAUUUAUAUGAUAAUCUUCAUAAGUUCUCAAGGACAUAUACAUGGAAAGCUUGUAUCUAUAACAAUUAACAAACAAAAAAACAACUUG